GUGAAUCAUCGAAUCUUUGAACGCACAUUGCGCCCGCCAGUAUUCUGGCGGGCAUGCCUGUUCGAGCGUCAUUUCAACCCUCAAGACCCCUUCGGGGGACUUGGUGUUGGGGACCGGCUGUUCCCGGCCUGCUUCUUGCAGCGCCUUUAUGCCGCCCCCGAAAUGAAUUGGCGGCCUCGUCGCGGCCUCCCCUGCGUAGUAGCACAACCUCGCAACGGGAACGUGACGGCGGCCACUGCCGUAAAACAACCCCAAUUUUAUUAGAGUUGACCUCGAAUCAGGUAGGAAUACCCGCUGAAC
rnacentral:misc_RNA from 1 species